rnacentral:rRNA from 1 species
UAGGGAAUCUUCGGCAAUGGACGGAAGUCUGACCGAGCAACGCCGCGUGAGUGAAGAAGGUUUUCGGAUCGUAAAGCUCUGUUGUAAGAGAAGAACGAGUGUGAGAGUGGAAAGUUCACACUGUGACGGUAACUUACCAGAAAGGGGCGGCUAACUACGUGCCAGCAGCCGCGGUAAUACGUAGGUCCCGAGCGUUAUCCGGAUUUAUUGGGCGUAAAGCGAGCGCAGGCGGUUAGAUAAGUCUGAAGUUAAAGGCUGUGGCUUAACCAUAGUACGCUUUGGAAACUGUUUAACUUGAGUGCAGAAGGGGAGAGUGGAAUUCCAUGUGUAGCGGUGAAAUGCGUAGAUAUAUGGAGGAACACCGGUGGCGAAAGCGGCUCUCUGGUCUGUAACUGACGCUGAGGCUCGAAAGCGUGGGGAGCAAACAGGAUUAGAUACCCUGGUAGUCCACGCCGUAAACGAUGAGUGCUAGGUGUUGGGUCCUUUCCGGGACUCAGUGCCGCAGCUAACGCAUUAAGCACUCCGCCUGGGGAGUACGACCGCAAGGUUG